rnacentral:tRNA from 1 species
GAAACUUUAGUUAACCACAUAACACUGGCCUGUCAGACCAGAGUGACAAGUGAAAACCUUGUAAGUUUUG